rnacentral:rRNA from 1 species
GUAGGGAAUAUUGGACAAUGGGCGAAAGCCUGAUCCAGCCAUGCCGCGUGAUAGAUGAAGGCCCUCUGGGUUGUAAAUAUCUUUUAUCUGGGAAGAAACUCCUCUAUUCUUAGAGGCCUGACGGUACCAGAGGAAUAAGCACCGGCUAACUCCGUGCCAGCAGCCGCGGUAAUACGGAGGGUGCAAGCGUUAUCCGGAUUCACUGGGUUUAAAGGGUGCGUAGGCGGGUUGAUACGUCAGUGGUGAAAGCUCCGGGCUUAACUUGGAAACUGCCAUUGAUACGGUCAGUCUUGAAUGUCGUAGAUGUAAGCGGAAUGUUGCAUGUAGCGGUGAAAUGCUUAGAUAUGUUACAGAACACCAAUUGCGAAGGCAGCUUACUAUGCGAUAAUUGACGCUGAGGCACGAAAGCGUGGGGAGCAAACAGGAUUAGAAACCCCUGUAGUCC